CUUAAAUCAGAAUAAGCAGAAAGUUGGACUUGUAAAUCAUACAAGUGGAUCUACGAUAACAAAGGAGUUGUAGUUCUCUGCUGUAAAGGAUAUACUCUGGCAAGAUGUACAGCAGGUUCUUGCCUGUGAAUCUUCUUUUACAGUCAUUACAUGAUGAGUCUAUGGGCAUUGAUUGCUCUGACAAGGUGAGGAUGUGGGAGAAGAAGACAGUCUCAGUAUCAUCACCUUCAUAAGGAGUUUGUAAGUAAUGCAGCACAGAUGAGUUGAGGGAGCUGGGAGAUGGAGAUAUCGCCUUGAAAUAUGGAGGCAGAGGUUAUUUCUUGUCAUACAGUAUGUACUGUUGCUUACUUCAAGAGUUGCUUAGCAGACUCUGCAAAGCCAGUAGUCCUAGAACGAUAUUUGAGAGUGAAUUGCAAUAGCAACAUAAGUAGUAACAGAAAAGGCUUUACCCUGAUUUUACAGGUUGUAUGCAUUUUAUUGUUUUCAGGACUGAGUCAUACUGUAAGGCCUUUUAAUAGCUGAAAGGAUGAAAAAAUAGAAAAACAGAGCAACCUCUUUGGUGUGAUUGUCUCCCAGUGUACAGACAUCUUUGCAUCUAAAUUUCAAAGGAAAUACAGCUUUUCUCUUAAAAGGAAUAAUAUUAAGAAAUAAUAUCUGUAGUUUAUAUGGCCCAUCUUCUGUUGCCCAUUCAUCAUUUCCAGCAAGGGAGAUGACUUUUAUGUUGGCAGAUGACAUUAAGCAACAAGUAACGCUCUGGACAGCAACCAGUCUCCCUCCAAUAAAAGGCAAAGGCAUGCGGUGGGAAGUGUGACAUGUGUGCUGCUGCUUAUAUCCUCUGGGCUUAGUUAAAGAAGAAGGUCAGGAAGCUUUAGGCAUUGCCCAGUGGUUCAUGAAAGAGAGUUAUGUCGCCUACGCAGAAGACCUAUACAGAAGAGGUUCUUCACCGUCACUACCAGAAGCACACACAAGAUCAUCCUGAUCCCACUCAGGUUAACUGUCUGGACAGCUGUGAGUCAAGCCUUCAAGCCACGCUGCUUUAUCUGAUUGGUCUCAGACUUGAUCUGGCACAUGAAAGGAAAUGUGAGGAAGUUUCAAGCAGGGAUCGUUUUGCAAGUCCAGAGCUGAGGGUGAGGUCAAGUUCACUCACAUUUUUGGAGUAUCACAUUGCAAACAUAAAGCACCGUGCAUACAGCAUGAGGGUUGGUGGAGCAGUGGUUUCAACUGCAGGAGAUCUGUGUUGCUGGAGUAUUUUUGUGUUGUUUACCAGCAUCAAUGAAAUAUACCACACUAAAGAAACAGCAGUUGCAUGUAUUUUUUAAAGGCGACCCUUCUAGGGAAUAGGCAUAUGGUGACUUUAUCUUCGUUUUGAUGUUUAACUCACACAGGUGUUGCAAGCAUCUCGUGGAGCUGCAGGGUAAUGUUAGCAUUUAGUUAAUGAGUAAGUUCUUAUUAUUCAUGUGGCAUUAAUUUAGCCCACGAUGUUACUCCUUUCCUCCUGCGGUGCGUUCAGAGUCGUGGAGAUUGCUGCAAGAAUUUAUGGGAUGGAAAAGCAGAUAUUUAACUAUGGGGCUUUUUAAAGCUGUGUGGAGUAAUAAAAUCAUUACUGUUGGAAAAGACUACCAAGAUCAUCUAGUCUGACCAUCAACCCAUCGCCACCAUGCCCUCUAACCAUGUUCCUCAGUCCUACUGACUCAACUGCCCUCCUUGCAAACAAGCUCUGUUCCAGACUCAGCCUUAGGUCGUCACUUCAUAAAAAUGGUCUCAUUUCUACUAGGGCCUCACUGAGAUUUCCCAGUCACUCAUUUUUCUGAAGAUGUUUAAGUCUUAAAUGCG
ensembl:lncRNA